rnacentral:siRNA from 1 species
GGCUGAGUUAUCGUGUCGUUCUGC